CCUACGGGAGGCAGCAGUGGGGAAUAUUGCACAAUGGAGGAAACUCUGAUGCAGCGACGCCGCGUGAAUGAUGAAGGCCUUCGGGUCGUAAAGUUCUGUCCUUGGGGAAGAUAAUGACGGUACCCAAGGAGGAAGCCCCGGCUAACUACGUGCCAGCAGCCGCGGUAAU
rnacentral:rRNA from 1 species